UACGGAGGGUGCGAGCGUUGUCCGGAAUCACUGGGCGUAAAGGGCGCGUAGGCGGCCUGGUAAGUAGGGGGUGAAAUCCUGCGGCUUAACCGCAGGGCUGCCUUCUAAACUGUCAGGCUCGAGCACGGUAGAGGCAGAUGGAAUUCCGAGUGUAGAGGUGAAAUUCGUAGAUAUUCGGAAGAACACCAGUGGCGAAGGCGGCUCACUGGCCCGUUACCGACGCUCAGGCGCGACAGCGUGGGGAUCAAACAGG
rnacentral:rRNA from 1 species